UACGGAGGGUGCAAGCGUUAAUCGGAAUUACUGGGCGUAAAGCGUGCGUAGGUGGUUCGUUAAGUCCGUUGUGAAAGCCCCGAGCUCAACUUGGGAAUUGCAGUGGAUACUGGCGAGCUGGAGUGCGGUAGAGGAAGGUGGAAUUCCCGGUGUAGCGGUGGAAUGCGUAGAGAUCGGGAAGAACAUCAGUGGCGAAGGCGGCCUGCUGGGCUGUUGCUGACGCUGAGGCGCGACAGCGUGGGGGAGCAAACAGG
rnacentral:rRNA from 1 species